GACCGCGGUUCCGCUCGGGGCUGCUCCGUUGCGGAGCCAUCCCCGGAGGCCCAAGUGUUAGGGUACGGACCCGGGGUUACCGGUGUGCUGAGUGCAGGCCCGCUAGGCCCUCGGUGCCCCUUCCUACAGCAGCUGGUCCGUUAACCGUGGCCGAAGGAGUCCGGGGCGGGGGUCUGCCUGUGUGGAGGCCGAGCUGCUCUGUGCAGCAGUGCCCGCUCUGAGGCGGCAGGCCGCGCAUGCAAGGACAAGACUGCUGUGCUGCCAGGCAGAGCAGCAUUAGGUAUUUGCUUUAGGGGAACGAUGGGAGCACGCAUGUGUGUGUUUGCCUCGGGAAGCCGGGAUUGUUAGAAAUGAUGAGUCAGGUUUUCUAGGCUCCAUGCUAAUGCACGGAGAUGGAGUGUGUAAUUAGGACAGAGGCAAAUCUAUAAUCUGCAGCCUGAGAUAGCUGGGGUAUAAACCUCUCCUUUACAUCAUGGCAUCGCCAAAGUUUUCCUUGUUUGUGUGCUCUUCAGCUUUAGGUUUUAAAUACGUCUGUAAUGAGCUUUAACAUGUAGUCCCACUGACAUAAAACUUUAUUAAAUAUCGACCAUUAUAUAAUUCCUGUCUUGAAAGAUGAUGGCAUAGAUGGAUUUGAUUUCGUUAUGGAAACAAUACUAUAGCCCUAUGAAAUUUCCGAGCAGAUUUGGGAUGUUACAUACAUUGUUUCCAAGGUUUCUCCUGGCAAAGCACUUGUAAAUCAGCUGCUUGAGAACCGUCAUCUGCUUUGCCUGAGAAUACUUUCUGCAGAAUGAAGUGUUGUGUAAUUUAGUCAACUGGCUGCCUAAAAAGGGCACAAUGCAAUUAGUGAUUUACAUCUCUUAAAGGAGACUGAUUGUACCUAGAUCUGAUUGCGAACUGCUGAAAAACUCCUCUGAUCAGGCUUUGCCACUGGCUGGAGGUGGAGUUCAUGGGAUGGACAUGCGGAACAGGGACAAGUCUGGGUCUUGGCACUGGCCACGCAACCAUGGUGUGAGGCACUGUGAAGAAUGCACCUUAAGUUUCAUCCGUCUCCUAAACAUGGGUGCCUGCAUCAAAGCUGUGGUUAUGGCAUCUCUGUGAGAUGUUGGUGUCCUGCAGUGCUGUGGGUAUGGGUCCAGGAGGCAAGACUUCCUCCAGAAGACAGAGGAAUGCUGCUGACCUUUGGCUGGGACAUGGGAGCUUGUGCCUUGGCUCCCAGGUACAUCACACAUCGCUGAGGAGUACAACCGAGCCACUGCAGGUCAGGCUGUGUAAAAACACGUUGAGCCCUCCUCUGCAUACCAUGAGUUCAAAAGCCAAGGAGCCCAGAGAGAGCAAGCAGGAGGUAGCUGGCUCAGAUGCCUGCUGGCUGGGGUGGUGAACUGGAAACUGGGUUUUGCUGCCUGUUUCCUUGCACUGCUGUGGCUCCAUUCUGUGCCCAGCCAGUGAGAAGCACACAAAUGUCUUUGGCUGAAAAAUCCUGAAAUGUCUCAAGCAGCAGAACUUGUCUGUUCAUAUUUUGCAAAUGAAACACAUGGUACGGCAGGAUGCCACAUUAAGAAUGGAGCUGAUCAGUGAAAUUAGCUUCCUGUAUUCACUGGCAAUGUUAUGACUUUCAUUAUUUUCAAAUACAAAAAGCAAAUACAAAACUCAACAGCUUUUGGGAUAUGGCACAUAAUUUAGGUCCAUUUCCUAUUGAAGACCCUGAGAUAUGAACAUAAGUAUGUUGGAAGAUCAGGCUGAAUUAUGGCAGAGUUUUAUUCUUUGUUUCUAGACAAAGAAGAGCUGAAGUGCUGAAAGAUUUGCAUCUGUUAUGGACUUGUCUUCUUUUGAUUUAAAAAUGGUUUUACCCUGUUUCAUUAUUUUUCUGACAGUUACACCCUGAAAAAACAGAGUGUUAGUGAAAUGGGAUUUCCUCAGAAGGUACCACACUUAGAAGCAAUUAGGCAUGUGAGUGAAGGCAGUUAGCACAUGGGAUCUUCCCCGGCAAAAUCAGCUAAUGCCCGCUGUGACAUACCAAAAUACAGCACGCAGGAUGGGCCCAGCCAUCUGGUACUGCCGAGCAAGAGGAAAGGAGCAGCAGCUUCCCUGGACCAACAUCAGCCGACUCCUUUCUGCUCCCGUCUCCUCUAGCCUGCCAGUUUGUCUGCUGCCAGAUGUAACUGCAUGACUCCUGCAUGUAGAUUUGCCUUUGAAGACUCUCUGACCUAUUUCAGCCUGGCUUUGCAGUAGGCAUAAGCUCUAUUUAUAAUCUUUGGAGAGGGGAAAGGGAGGGUCCAUCUGGAAGGGGAAAAAUUGAAAAGAUCAUAGAAAAGAUCAUAGAACAGUUAGAGAUGGAAAGGACAUUAAGAUCAUCAAGUUCCAACCCCCCUGCCUUGGGGAAGGACACCUCACACUAAACCAUGUCACCCAAGGCUCUGUCCAACCUGGCCUUGAACACUGCCAGGGAUGGAGCAUUCACAACUUCCUUGGGCAACCCAUUCCAGUGCCUCACCAGCCUUACAAUAAAGAACUUCUUCCUUAUAUCCAAUCUAAACUGCC